rnacentral:rRNA from 1 species
UACGUAGGGUGCAAGCGUUGUCCGGAAUUAUUGGGCGUAAAGAGCUCGUAGGCGGUUUGUCGCGUCUGCUGUGAAAACUCGGGGCUUAACCCCGGGCCUGCAGUGGGUACGGGCAGACUAGAGUGCGGUAGGGGGAGACUGGAAUUCCUGGUGUAGCGGUGAAAUGUGCAGAUAUCAGGAGGAACACCGGUGGCGAAGGCGGGUCUCUGGGCAGUAACUGACGCUGAGGAGCGAAAGCGUGGGGAGCGAACAGG